GGCUCUUGUCAAGGCUUACCCGCACAUCAAGUGCACCGUGUUGGACCUUCCGAAGGUGAUAGACAAAGCCCCAAAUGAUGGUGUCGUUAACUAUGUAGCGGGUGACCUAUUUCACACCGUCCCAUCUUCUCAAGCUGUGAUGCUCAAGCUUGUACUACAUUUCUGGAGCGAUGAGGAUUGUGUGAAAAUCUUGACCCAGUGCAAGAAGGCCAUUCCUCCACGCGACGAGGGAGGAAAGAGGGGUCCAACGGAGUGAAAAUGACUGGCGCAAGCUAUUCAUGGAAGCAGGAUUCAAAGACUAUAAAAUUGUGAAGAAACUGGGAGCUCGAUGCGUUAUCGAGGUCUACCCAUAAGAUGUUGAG